rnacentral:rRNA from 1 species
CUGGGAACUGCCUUUGUGACUGCAUCGCUGGAGUACGGCAGAGGGGGAUGGAAUUCCGCGUGUAGCAGUGAAAUGCGUAGAUAUGCGGAGGAACACCGAUGGCGAAGGCAAUCCCCUGGGCCUGUACUGACGCUCAUGCACGAAAGCGUGGGGAGCAAAACAGGAUUAGAUACCCUGGUAGUCCACGCCCUAAACGAUGUCAACUGGUUGUUGGGUGGGUUUUCUACUCAGUAACGAAGCUAACGCGUGAAGUUGACCGCCUGGGGAGUACGGCCGCAAGGUUGAAACUCAAAAGGAAUUGACGGGGACCCGCACAAGCGGUGGAUGAUGUGGUUUAAUCGAUGCAACGCGAAAAACCUUACCUACCCUUGACAUGGCAAGAAUCCUGGAGAGAUCUGGGAGUGCUCGAAAGAGAGCUUGCACACAGGUGCUGCAUGGCCGUCGUCAGCUCGUGUCGUGAGAUGUUGGGUUAACG